CCUACGGGGCGCAGCAGUGAGGAAUAUUGGUCAAUGGGCGGGAGCCUGAACCAGCCAAGCCGUGUGAAGGAAGAAGGCGCCAAGCGUCGUAAACUUCUUUUGUCGGGGAACAAAGGGCGCCACGUGUGGCGUUGUGAGUGUACCCGAAGAAAAAGCAUCGGCUAACUCCGUGCCAGCAGCCGCGGUAAUACGGAGGAUGCGAGCGUUAUCCGGAUUUACUGGGUGUAAAGGGAGCGUAGACGGCAGUGCAAGUCCGGAGUGAAAGCCAGGGGCUCAACCCUGGGACUGCUCUGGAAACUGAAAAG
rnacentral:rRNA from 1 species